rnacentral:rRNA from 1 species
CCUACGGGUGGCAGCAGUGGGGGAUAUUGCACAAUGGGGGAAACCCUGAUGCAGCGACGCCGCGUGAGUGAAGAAGUAUUUCGGUGUGUAAAGCUCUAUCAGCAGGGAAGAAAAUGACAGUACCUGACCAAGAAGCCCCGGCUAACUACGUGCCAGCAGCCGCGGUAAUACGUAGGGGGCAAGCGUUAUCCGGAUUUACUGGGUGUAAAGGGGGCGUAGACGGUUAUGUAAGUCUGGAGUGAAAGCCCGGGGCCCAACCCCGGGACUGCUUUUGAAACUGUGUAGCUGGAGUACAGGAGGGGCAGGCGGAAUUCCUGGUGUAGCGGUGAAAUGCGUAGAUAUCAGGAGGAACACCGGCGGCGAAGGCGGCCUGCUGGACUGAAACUGACGUUGAGGCUCGAAAGCGUGGGGAGCAAACAGGAUUAGAUACCCUUGUAGUC